GGAGCUAUGAGUGGAAGUUUUUUUGUCCUGCCCAUUAUGAAAGUUGAAAAAUUCUCCUGAUAACUCCUGCCCCAUUCUUUAUAUUAAUACAUUCUCUUUUUUCUUAAGUCCAAUGAAGCCUAAUUUCGGAGAUAUAAUCAAGAUGAGCUGAGCUGAUUUAGGUUGAUCACAGGACAAAAUGAAGGAAAUAGGAAAAAUCUCUAGUUUUCCUUCUCUUCAAAGCUUAGACUCACUAACUUCAGAAGAGGUGUUAAAUGUCCUAAGAUUGUUAAUUUGGAUAUCUGUUGACCUAGGCUCACUCCCAAAUAGAAUUGGAUCAAGGAAAAAUGAAUCAAACCUGUCCUGAGGUUUUUCUCUCCUCCUCCCCGAGAGUGCCCCAUGCCUCCCAGGAAGCCCUACAGUGGUCCAUCUGGGGCCACUGGAGUGGGGAUUUGCUCUUUGGCUCCCCUGACUCACCAAGCACUUGCAGCUUGAUCUUCCAUUCUUGCUCAUUCCCAGUCUUUUUCAACACCCUCAUGAUGUAGGUGCUGUUGUCCUCUUUCUGGACCUUAGAGAUGUACAGUGCGCCACUCUGAGGAUCAAGUCUGACCCUGCCUUUAAAUUUGGAUUCAAAGUACUUAGAUUUUCUGGAAUCCCAUUCUACAAUCUUCUGGUCGAAAGUAUAAAACCAGGUUAGUUGUUUGUAGUUCUCAGGCAGGCUCUCAGAGAUGUUCAGAGUCACGUUGCUGCCGGAGACCACGGUCAUAUGUACCAAGUGACCUGCCAAUGAGAUUCAGAGUGAGACCUGCGCUAGAGGAGGCAGUGUUGCUGACAGGCCCAGGGUAUAGCCUGGGCUGGUGGAACAGGUGAGAAGGAAGGGAUUUCUGCUUAGGAGCAGUGAGUAUGGUUUUCACUGGAGGUCCAGGUCUCCUGCUUAGGAACUCAAGAAAAGUUGAAGCUUGAAAAGUGGGCAUGGGGGAAGGGGAUGCUGCUUAUAAUUAAUCUAGUACUGUCCCCAGAAAAUGAAAGAAUUGAGUAAGGCCAACUGAGGUUGGGCCUGGCUCUCUCCCUUACUCUCAUACCAGUAGACUUUCAAAUAAACUGAUGACAAGUCAUA
rnacentral:lncRNA from 1 species